CUGCUGCCAGCACCUGGCCCAGCAAAGCAAUGGGCGAGAACAGCCAACUCUGACUUCCGGAGGAGUCAUAUUUAAAGAACAAGCAAGCAAGCAAACAAACAGACCAGCGACUGGACAAGGCGGCCUCCCGAGUUCCCUAGCCUAACUGUGCAUAAAAGUGCUCAGCCCCUCAGGCUUGCUCUUGCUGCAGAGAACACGAACAUGAACCUUCGUCGGAGGAGACAUCAUUUGGCCUUUCAAACAGUGGGUCUCAAUAGCUGAUGAGUAACGAGAACAGCACGGUAAAUUGUAAGUAGCAGUCUGAUAGACUGGAGUGAGUAAGGGACAGCAGGGUGAUUGAUGCAGGCACGUGCUACAUGAUGACAUUGAUCUCUGUGGCCAUCAUGCUCUACACACAAGAGUGAAUGCAUGCUCAUGGGUUCCAAAGGCUGGGCAAGGUUUGAAUACAAGAGUGUCAUGUAUCUUGUGCAUUGCUUAGAGCAGUACUGUGGAGACACAGAAGAACUUGGAGGGAGGCAAGUGACACUUUGUAGGUUAAUCACCAUCUCUGCUCGCCAGUCAAUCAAGUAGGCCCAGAGAUGCUCUUCCUCCCAGGCAAAAAGAUCUUUAGGGCUCUAUGUUGUCCACUUUACCUGUCAAUAGUUGCUUGAGCCCCUGGAGUGGAAAGGGUCUUGUUUAAGAUACUUGCUAUUCCCCAGCCUUCCACCAGAUGGCAGCCUUGAAACAUGGGGAGGUGGUCCAUCUGGCAGCUGCUUCAAGUAUCUUCAAGUGGGGGAGGCGACUUCAAAUCUUAGAGGCCUGGGCCUCUCUCCUUCCUUGCGAAGGGUCACCUCCUGAAAAAACUGUCUGGGUCUGGUUCCUUGUCUGGCCAGGCAGCAGCCGCUUUCUGAAGCACAGGGCAUUUUGCCAGGGGCUGUUCUGCAGUCUCAGCAGUGGAUUCCCCACCACACUACUGAAAUGCCCCAGGCCUACACCAAAGCCAGACAAACUCCAGCCCUUGCACAUCCAGCAAGCUAUCGUUAUCCCUCCCACCAAGUCAUGCUUCCAGAAAGGAAGUGAAUGCUGGCCUCUGACUUCCAGCCCCUCCCCCAUGCCUCCAAGCCUCUUGCACUCACAUUCCAUAAGAUAUUCUGUUUCCUAACUGAUAUUCUUUGUAGUGUGGAGAGCACAUCACCUUCCUGGGAAGGAACCCCAAAUUAGAGAGGAAGCCUUGUGUCAGCACCCAAGUCAGAUGAGAAAUGGCUCAUGGAAGGAGCACCACAUGACGUCCUGGAGUUACCCAGAAGAACAGCAAGUAAGGGACCUUAAAAGGACCCUCGCUACAGGCAGGCACCUCCAUGUCCAUUUGGUGCCCUGUGUGGAAGCCUUCUGGAUCAGCGGGCCUGGAGUUCAAUGAUGAUGGAGCUAGACAGACCUUAGAGCUGAGGAAGCUGCUCUGGGCAAGCAGGGACUAUGGAAGCUUCUAUGCCAGUCUGAGAACUGUGCGGGCAUCCAUCUGGGUGGGAGCUGGUGUAUCCAGAUGGUUUCCAUUUUUCUGGGUAACCUUGGAAAACGUGAAUCAGAAGGUGGCCACGCUGCCCACAGCUGCAGUGGGGGGCAGGGGGAUACUGCCUGUGAGUCACAAGCUAGGCUCUCCAGAGCUGUUUUCCACAUGUCCAUCUAGGGGACAAUUCUCUACUGGCAGUUCAAUUUCUUCAGUCCCCUGUUUUCUUAGGACCAGGGUGAGUGAUAUGUUUGCUCUCAGUGAAAUGACAACCUUGUGGCAUCACCCCCAGCACACUUCUGGAACUGAUGAGUCCAGCCUUGAUGUCCUGGGCAAACCAGAGAAUAGAUUAAUCCUUUCAGGGCACAGCACAGUCCCAGAAGGCACCACUUGACCCAUCUCUCAGGAGAAAGCAAAGGUGAGGGCCUUCAAUGUAGAAGUCCAUUUUCAAACUCUCUAAGAAGACUCUCUGCUCCUGAACACUGCCCAUUGCAUUCCUGAUCCUACUCUCCUAGUCCAGACUUAAAGAGACCCUAGCUUUCAUACAGCCUGCAUCUUUCUACCGUGGUGGCCACAGAGAAGUAGGCACAGCACCCCAGAAUGAGGGGCUGAGUACCCCCCAGCACGGGGCAGUGCAGCCCAAGGUCCCUACAAUCCAAAUCAGGUUUCUCACAACUACUGGGAUUCUGUGCUCUUCUAAGAGGGGAGGCAUUGUCACUGCCUCCUGGGCCACUGUGAUACCUGCUUUUGGCACAGUCCCACACUGUCAUCACCCAUCCUGUUAAAGUCCUAAGAAAUGAGCAGUCUCCUUGACCACACUGACGCAGAGAAAACAGACCCAGGAAAGAAGAGAUCUGUCUGCAUGGGUCACCUAGUAAGCAACAGGGUCAGGACCCAGGACCAGGGGCCUCCGAGUCACAGGUCCUAUGUAAUCCCUGCCACUCUCUCCUUCCUCCAGCCCUCCUUGGCUAACUCUUCCCUGUAGCAACACUGACUGCCACUGUACCAGGUGAACACUGUCUCUAGAGCUCUGACUUCUUCCUGUUGUUUCUCUCUGAGAGCUCCUUCCUGGGACAACAUUGCCUCAGCACCUCUGGGUUCUGCGUGGCUUCGAACACAAGGGAAGACAGUUUGUCCUGAUUGCAGAGAGAAAUGGCGUGCACUGCGGCAGGCCAGACAGAUUCCUUCUAUCAUUUAGAGAGACAGCUGUCAAACACGGUCAUUGUUGAAAUGUAACCAGGCACACUUAUAAUUAAACGACUUAUCAAUAAAGACCGCAAUU